AGAGUUUGAUCMUGGCUCAGAAUGAACGCUGGCGGCGUGCCUAACACAUGCAAGUCGUACGAGAAAAGGGGGCUUCGGCCCUGAGUAGAGUGGCGCACGGGUGAGUAACGCGUGGGUAAUCUGCCCUUGGAUUUGGGAUAACUUCGCGAAAGUGGAGCUAAUACCGGAUAGUCUGGCUUUUAAUAGAAGUCGGUAAAGGAUGCCUCUGCAUAUGCAUUCGUCCGAGGAUGAGCCCGCGUCUCAUUAGCUAGUUGGUAGGGUAAUGGCCUACCAAGGCAACGAUGAGUAACUGGUCUGAGAGGAUGAUCAGUCACACUGGAACUGAAACACGGUCCAGACUCCUACGGGAGGCAGCAGUGGGGAAUAUUGCGCAAUGGGCGAAAGCCUGACGCAGCAACGCCGUGUGAGGGAUGAAGGCUUUCGGGUCGUAAACCUCUGUCAGAAGGGAAGAACGGGCAGUGGUCUAAUAGGGCCAUUGUUUUGACGGUACCUUCAGAGGAAGCACCGGCUAACUCCGUGCCAGCMGCCGCGGUAAUA
rnacentral:rRNA from 1 species